UAUUCCUUGGCUCAGUGGU
rnacentral:piRNA from 1 species